AACCCGGGCGUCUGCGGACAGCUGUACCUGUAACUCUGAUCAACAGUCUUUGCGGCAAGACGAGCUUUCCAGACUGGGAAGGCUGAGUUUCUGAAACCAUAGAAGAGGAAUCACCAAAAUAAUGAGGACAGCUGGUCAGUGCUGUAAAGGAAGCUCAGCAGGUGGCCUGUUCCUGCAGGAAACUUCAGUUGCAGCAAGGCAGGAGACUUCUACCUAGGUCAGAGGAAGAUCUGCUGGCUGUAGCAAACAAAUAAGAGAGUCUCUCCCAGGAGAGCAAGCAGCACAGAGCCACCCACAACAUGCCAUGUCUGCCUGCCUGUCACCAUGUGUCCUGCCAUGCUGAUGAUAGACUACAUCUCUGACACUCUGUGAAGGACAUCUGGAAACAACAAUCACAUCUUCUUCAAUCGAUCCACUUUCCGAUCUUUGAAAAUACUUUAGAGCCUCCAGUUAAAGUGUAAACUUCCCAGCUAAGUGAAGGUGAAGAUCUUGUCAUUUCUAACACUUGUAUAAAGAGAUGAUUCAAACCCAAGUGAGUAGUCAAAAUUAUACACUGUCAAAUAAUUUAUAACUAGAAGCUCCCCUGUUUAUUUGUUCUUGGUGCCCUAAGAUAUGAGAACACAUCUAUAGUAUAAGCCAAUGGUCCCAUCUCUAGUUUAUAAAGUGACUGAAUUUUCAGAUAGGUGCAUGCCUUUAAUCCUAGCACUCAGGAGGGAAAGGGUGGCAGAUCUCUAUGAGUUUGAGGCCAGCCUGAUAUACAUAGCAAGACUUUUUCAACAAAGAGAGGAGGAGGAGGAGGAAGAACAUCAACAAGAAGAACGAGGAGGAGAAGAAGAAAGAUAGAUGCAAAGAAAGCGAGAGAGGCAAUCUGAAUCUUCAUCUUGUCUAGCAGAGCCAAUGAUGGUAAUAACGGAUGGGACCGUGAGAAAUCAGUGUUCCAUUUUGUGCCCCCACUCUCUU